AUGGCCAGAAGCAGCCUCCUCUGCCUAGUUCGAUUGGCUUCCCUUCUUGCACUCGCUGGGAUAUUCGUCUCCGUCUCCGUCCAGGCCAGCCGGGGAGAUGCUGAUCCGCACUACAGAACUUGUGUGGGGGAGUGUCAGAAUACGGGGAUUAUUGGGAGCAACAUCAUCAGCCACUGCCAGUCCCGGGAGAACGACAGCAUAUCUGCUGGAAGUUCUUGGUACACACAGGAGGCCCUUGGCAUGCAGUGGAAGCAACUAAACUGUAUGACAGACUGCCGCUACUACUGCAUGAUGCGAAGAGAAGAGGAACGGCGAUUAGGUGGCCUGAGCCCUGUUCAAUAUCAUGGAAAAUGGCCCUUCAAACGUGUCUCUGUCUUCCAGGAGCCCCUCUCGGCCGCACUGUCUGCUCUCAACCUAUUGAUGCACUUCACUGGCUGGCUUUCGUUCUACCUGCUAGUGAAAUGCAGAUUACCUCUUAGACCUCAGACGAAGAGGACGUACUACGAAUACACUGGCUUAUGGCAUAUCUAUGCAAUAUUAUCAAUGAAUGCAUGGAUCUGGAGCUCCGUAUUCCAUACCAGGGAUAUAGACCUGACUGAGAAAUUGGAUUACUCUUCAGCUGUGGCCGUACUUGGCUACUCUUUAAUCGUUACAUUGCUAAGAAUUUUUAAUGUCAAGGAGGGGCCUGCCAGGGUGAUGGUUGCUGCACCUAUUCUAGCAUUCGUCACAACACACAUCCUGUAUCUUAACUUCUACGAGCUUGACUACGGAUGGAACAUGAAAGUCUGUGUGGCGAUGGGUGUGAUUCAAAUUGUGGCAUGGGCAACCUGGGCUGGCGUGACCCGUCAUCCGCCACGGUUGAAGCUUUGGGUCGUUGUGUUUGGAGGAGCUCUAGCUAUGCUUCUUGAGGUGUUUGACUUCCCUCCGUACAAGGGGUAUGCGGAUGCGCAUUCGCUGUGGCACGCGAGCACCGUUCCCCUCACCUAUCUCUGGUGGAGCUUCAUUAAAGAUGACGCAGAAUUCCGCACCUCCACACUCACACUGGUUAAGAAGGCCAGGUGA
rnacentral:rRNA from 1 species